UUUAAAUUAUUUUCACUCUUCUCUUUAUUGCCCCCUCCUCCUCCUGGAGAUCACAGCUAAUGUCACCUUUACCAUCUCCUCCACUGGGUAGAGCCUGGACAUCUGGCACCUGGGCACUGGUCCUGCCUGGGCACUGCCACUUCCAUUCUCACGACAGGAGCAAAGUGCCUGCCCUGUGGAGUGCCUUGACACUUUACCCCAAUAGCACGCUUAACACAAAGGAUCUCAGAGUGUCUUGGGGAAGAUGUGAUCUGUGCCAAGCUCAGUCCUUUUCCUGGACCCUCUGCAGAGAAGCCAGGGCAUUCUCCAGCCUGUGCUAGAAAUGCGACAAGCUCAGGAAUUAAGGUGCAGGAGUUCCCGCCAUGGCUCAGUGGUUAACAAACUCAAUUAGUAUCCAUGAGGACAUGGGUUCAAUCCCUGGCCUUGCUCAGCGGGUUGGGGAUCGGGCACUGCUGUGAGCUGUGCUGUAGGUUGCAGGUGCAGCUUGGAUCCAGCAUUGCGAUGACUGUGGUAUAGGCCGGCAGCUACAGGUCCAAUUAGACCCCUAGCCUGGGAGCCCUCCAUACGCUCUAGGUGCAGCCCUAAAAAGACAAAAAGACAAAAAAAUAAAAGAAAUUAAGGUGCACAUUUCAUAGGCAGGCACUUCAUCAAGCACGGUCCUGUUCCCUUUGCUAAUGGUUUCAUGCCUGUGCUUCCUGCCUUCCCAGCCAUCCUGAGACCAUCUUGAGGGUAUGGACUGCAGCUUCUAGUUCUCUGUUAAGCCCAGGGUUCUGAGCAUCACAGUGAGGGCUGGAUUCAUAUCAGCUGGUUGUCUCAGCAUCAUCUCCACCAACCUGAGGCACAGGUGCUUCUCCAGGGCAUUUUCCAAGGGGGAAAGUCCAGGAUAAAGUCCCUGACCCCAAGUCUUUAUCUUACACCUGAAAAUACCCUUUCCCCCAACAAGGACACACUCACAGGCCUCCAGCAUUAGGGCCUGACAUCUUUGGGGGAUGCUUCGCCUACUGCACCACCGCCCACCACCUCUUCUGACCUCAAACGAGUGUCCAAGGGUCCCAGAUCAGCCUCUCUGAGUCGUGCUUAUCCCUCUGAGGUACAGGAAUGACUUUUAUGGAUCCGUUGGCUUCUUCACAGAGUGGUGGUGAGGACUGAGAGGUAAUAUAUAUAUUGAAAGCAUUUUCUAAGCUGUAAAGCCCCACACAAAUGCAAGACAACAUUAUUGCACUGGGAGCGUGGCAAGUUCAACACUUGAGAAAACUAUCAGAUUUUAAAACAUGUGAGGGAAUAGGAAACCAAUGUUAUUCCAAAACCUCAUUUACACCCCACACCAAAGCCUCCCACUCUCCCUGCCUCCGCUCUCCCCUGUGGCUAUAGGGGUGUGACAGAGGCCUGUCUUGGGGGUGGCUUUGUGGCCUGAAAACAAAUCAUUCUUCACAGCUGGCUCCCCGAGUCCAAUAAGCCAGAAGGAAUUGGUAGAGAGAUUUAACGAUAUGUAUUUCAAGAAAAAGAUGAAAAUGUGUCUACUUUUAGGAGAUGCAGUAAAAAUGCAUCAGCCCCACAAUAAACUUGGCAGUGAAGAUGCAUAGAAGGCACACAUAUAAUGCAGUCAGGGCAGUAAUGUCUCAUUUCUAGGGAAAUCCUCUAAGAGAUCAAUUAGAAUUUGCCCCCGCCCAUGCCCUAUACACAGCCUCUGAACACGGUCCCACCCCUCCAGCUACCUCCAGCCUCUGCAGGGGGCCUGUUGGCUCAAAGCAGCUUGUUCCCCAGUCUCCCUUGGAAGUCUCUAGAAGAGAUGUGGGCUGAAACGGUUUGCAAACCAAUUACAUGAGAAGUGGGAAACUGUGGCCCCCAGAUCAAACCUGGCUCAUAAAUUACAGCUUUAUUGGAUCACAGACAUGCUGAUUCCUUCUAUGAUGGCUUUGUUGCUCUAAUAGAAGAGUUUAAUAAUUCUGAUUGAAAUCAUAUGGCCUGAAAGUCUAAUAUAUAUAUUAUUGGGCCUUUACAGAAAAAGUUUGUUGACAUCUGAAUAACGCCAUUACGUGAGAGGCUGUCUUUAGGCAAAACUGCCUGUAAAACCAAGAACAGGAUGACAGCUAAUUUUUUUGAGCCCUGUUCUGUGCCACGCAUGGCAUUGUGCCCAUAGGAACAGAAUGUCCCCUUAUUUAUUCUCGCAAGCAGUCCCAUGAGGUAGUAAUGCUAGCAGUAUGGCUAGAGGAGAAAACAGGCUCAGGGAAGCUAAGCAACUUUCUCAAGGUCUCAACCUGGAAACCGGUAGAACUGGCGUUCACACUCAUGUGCGGCUGAUUCCACCACCCUUGCUCUGGCCGCCACUCUCAAGCAUCUGGUUUCCAGAUGGGCAAUUCAGAGACCCUCUUCCAGUCUCCAGCACCUUGCACUUGUUGAGGAUCUGAUUUUCUGUAUCUAAUGUACCUGCAUCGAAUCUCCCAUCAUUCACCUGCCUGCCGUGGCCGCUCUGCUAAGGAGUGGAGAAAGGGAGCCUUCCAAGCCGUCUUCCUCCCCCUUUCCCACCCUGUGCUCCCCAUCCCUGUGCUCAGUGGAUUUUGUCCCACAUUUCUGCAGGACCCGUGUUGCCGCAGUCUCCCCCGACUGUCCCACUCCUGGGCGAGAUUCUGACUGUUCUGGAGCCUCCAGUCUGCACAGAGGGGGGCGCCAACAGAGCCCUGGGAACAGAGGCAUUUGCAUUCCACUUCCCGGGGCUGUUCUGAUCUUACCUGCAAUUCUUCUGACAAAUUCUUAUCAGCGAUGCCCAUGGCGAAGUCUGUGGUGACUUUGUUCAUUCUUAUUAGCUCUGCAGAUUAGCUCUUCACAGCGCUUGGCUGGUUCAUACCGAUUCCUGAUAAAUGUUUUGACUGAUUUUCCUGACUUGGGAGCAGUUGGGGACUGGGGCUGGGGUGGAGGCAGAAGACCGUGAGGAGAGGGGUGCUGGCGAGGGGAAGGAGAGAAAAUUGUGGCCAGGAUUACAUCUGGGCUAUAAAAUAUUCAUCACAUGCCUGCAAGAGCAGGGUCAGCACCGCUUCCCCAAGAACUGCUCCCUCCACCAGGCAGCACUUUGAAAUGCACCAGCCCGGGCAGGCUGGGAGCAGCCGGGAGAGGCUUCUGAGAGAAGGGGCCAGUGGAAGUUAAAAGGAAGGAAGAACAAACCAGCUCACUUGGGCUUUCCUGUCCUUCUCGGUCCCUCCCUUCUCACCUGCUCUUCAAGAACAGCUUUUGAUGGCAGAAUACUGAUGUUCCGGGUGGGCUUAGCUGUUCCUGUGCUGGGUUCCUCUUCUCCCUUUUGCUGCCCCAAGAAACCUUCCUGAGAAUUUCAGCCCACCCUUCCUCUCCUUUCCAAGAGGUCCUCCAGCUUCCCUCUUUGAGGACUUCAGACAGUGCUAAUAACAGCGUUCCUCACCGUCUCCUGUAUUUCCCCACCUAGACUGGACUUAGAGUCAUGCCCCUCCCAAGACUAGACACGAGGUACCCAUUUGUAACGUCAUGGCUGAAUUAAAAGAGCUCCUUCCCUUUGGCAGAGUUGGCCAGCAGGUACCACCACACCACCAGUGCUGAAGCAAGGCAGGCAUUGCCGAUCGACUUCCACACGCUUUCUUCUCAAACCAAGAUGAAGUUUUCCCCUUGUUCUUAACAAGAGGUUCCAAGCAGCCACUCCUAAUCCAAUGGAAUCAAGAAGGAAAUAAAAACCUCUUUGCUAUCCUGGUUCUUUGGUACCCCCUGUAACUUCCUUGCAAUCAGGCACUACCUUUAGAGUCUAGGAACCUGGUACUGUGGCCCCAUAUAAAAUAGGAGUUCCUGUCGUGGUGCAGUGGUUCACGAAUCUGACUAGGAGCCAUGAGGUUGCGGGUUCGGUCCCUGCCCUUGCUCAGCGGGUUAACGAUCCGGCGUUGCCAUGAGCUGCGGUGUAGGUUGCAGACGCGGCUCGGAUCCCGCGUUGCUGUGGCUCUGGCGUAGGCCAGUGGCUACAGCUCCGAUUCAACCCCUAGCCUGGGAACCUCCUUAUGCCCAGGGAAGCGGCCCAAAGAAAUAGCAAAAAGACAAAAUAAAUAAAUAAAAAUAAAUAAAUAAAUAAAUAAAUAAAUAAACCCUGCACCCACAAAAGAAAGCUAUCCAUCACUUUCCGCAGGUAUCCGGUCAAGGCUUACCCUCUAAAAAAUUCUUUCAUGUGUCUAACCCAAGACCCUGCUGCAGUAGAAUUAUAUUCCUGGGCUUUUCUCCCAUGGGAGAAAAAAGUCAGAUGCUUUGAGAAGUGAUGUUCUCACUCACUGCUCUUUCCCACUGCCCGGAAGUUUAAACUCUGGUGCCCAAGCACCUCACUCUGGAAAAACUCGACUCAUGCCAGCCCCAUGCCUGCUCGUGCCAGCUCCCUGGAAAAUGACCCACACCCCCGAAACUAGAAAGAGGCCUGGAGACUCUUGAAGGUCCUCUCUUGCCGCAGCCAAGUUUACUCAUUAGCCUUUCACCAGAUUUAUCUUCUCCCUGGUAGCCUGCAGCGCUUUGAUUUGUCCUGCUGUCACCAGGACUAAUGUUGAUGGCGGCACCCCCCCGGGGGCGUCAGGCUCUCCAGCCUCCUGCCAGAGCCCUCGAGGAAAAUGGAUGAGCAACUGACCCGCAAAAUAAAUACCAGACUUCCAGGUUCUGAUAAAGAUUAAAUAUUGGAGGAGUCAUUUCAAAUGAAUAUAUAAAAGCACAUGGAAGAAGCCUUUUAGACUCCGGCAGAGUGACAUACAGGCAAACAAAGAGAGAUGUCUUUGGGGAAGUUCAGUGGCAGGGAAGUUGGAGGCUCCGAAUGCAAUCUGCCCACAAAUACCCCAGCUGCAGGAAGGAUUCCAAAACAGUCAUCCCUCCCUUUCCCUCCACCCUCCCCACCCAGAUCGUGAAGAAGAGAAAGUGCUAAGCUCCAAAAGCCGUGUGCCAGCAUGAUGCUGAAGUCAGCUCUGGCCCAUCCAACCAAGGGAGAAGCCCCAUUACUCAACACCAUCUGCCUUGGGCGUGGAGCAGCCAAGAGCUAGGAUUACGGGCGGGGAUGGGGCUCUGAAGCCCCAAAGGAGAGAGUUACUGGGGAAGAGCAAGGUCAGGCAUCUCUGAGACAGAACGGGGAGGCGGGAGAGAAGCCAGAUGUCAGCAGAUGGAGCCAGUGUUCCUUGAGCCUGGGGCAGAAUGUGGUUUCUGGUCCGAAACAUGUGCAGAUUGAUUGCACAUCCAGAAACGCCCAAUAACCAGAAUCCCAGGAUCCUGUCUCUAGAAUCAAAUGUUGGAGUUCUCUGGAUCAAAGUUCAAGUGCAGUUAGCAUGGAGAUGGAAGGGGAGAGAGGCAGCCUUGAUUUACCUGGUGCCUGCAGUGCUGGGCCACUUACUCCUCCUGACCAUCCUGGGAGAUGGGCACUGGCAUCCAUUCCUUACAGAAAGGAGGCUGAGGCUGCGGCGAACGGAUGGCCACGAGGCUGGCGUUCGUCCCGCUGCCACAUGCUCAGUUCUCCAUCUCAGUCUGGAAGGCAGAGUCUUGGUGGUGGUCCAGGGACAGCUGUCCAAAUUCCUGAGAACCGGGCUCAGUAUCCAGGUCCCUCC
rnacentral:lncRNA from 1 species